GCAAAACACUCAUAGAAAUAGUAAUAAUUAUUUUUAGUAAAAGCUCACGAUCUGAUUGUCUUCACAACAGAGUCUGCUUAGAGUGGGACCUCUUGCUCCUUCUCUUCUCAUUACCCCCUGUUCACAACACUCUUUACCAGCCAGCACUCUCUGAGGUCUGCGGUUGGGCUCAGCCACUCUCCUUUGUAGAUCAUGGAGGACCUGGAUCUGUUCACAGCAUCCGCAUAGCAGCUCACAGCCAUCUGCAGUUCCAGCCCUAGGGGGCUCUGAUGCCCUCUUCCGGCCUCUGAAGGAACCAGGAAUGAACACGGAGCACAGACAUUUAUGCAGGCAAAACCACCCAUCUACAUAAAUAACAUAAUAUAAAAAAGAAGAUGUAAGUUCUAUCUCCAGCAAAGAGAAGGAAAGGGGUGGAAGAAAAAAGAAGGGAAGGGGUGACUGAGGAGGCUCCAAAUGCGGUGCUAGAAAACUAAUUUGUAUUCUUUUCUACAAAUAAUCACCACCUGUGGGUAAUGGGCACCACAGUAGACAGCACAGUUCUAGGCAAAUAAGGCACCACAUACACUGUUCUGACCCUAACCAGGGACAUUUAUCCAAAUGGGGUAAUUAAGUCUCUAGAAUCCCCAACUCAAUGUAGUGAUGCUAUUGACCAAGAAAAGCAUAGUUUCUGUGAGCAAAGCAGGAAAUCGACACCAAAGCAGUGGGAAUCCCUACCAGGGAACAGACCCAUAAAUUGUUUAGCACAGGCCCAAGUCUGUCCCUCAAAGUGAUGCAAAUAAAUCCAAUUUAAUAUUUUUCUUUCACUCUCUUUUUUUUCCUUAGUUUUGUUUGAGAUGGUAUCUCUCUACAGAGCCCUGGCUGUCCUGGAACUCCCUGUAUAGACCAGGCUGACUUUAAACUCACAGAGAUCUGCUUCCUGGAGCCUGGGAUAAAAGUCCUGGACCACCACAUCCAGCCUCAAACUUAACAUUUUUUCAUGCUUGCCCAAAUGUAUGCUUACAAGGAAAGGUUUCCAGAAUGACUGACAAAAAGGGAAGAAGUAAAGAUGCUUAUAAAAAUGGAAAACACCGAGAAACACAUUUGUUUGGCGCGGUGCCCAUUUAAAGCCCCAAAGCUCUUCCUCAAGUCAGAAGAAUUUAAAGGUUCCAGAGGCAUCAGGCCACAGGCAUCUGCAACUGAUGGCCAAGGAGACAAAUAAUAAAAGAAGGGAAAGGGUAGUCCUGGGGAUGAAUUGAACAUGCCUUCUUGUUGGCUAUCUAGAAGGACAGAAUUGUUCAUUGUAUGUGCUGUUGUGAAAAUCAUCUUGUCCAAUAUAUACAUUUCUGAAAAUACUAUGAUCCCUGAAACCAAACAUACAGCCCUGGAUGUUUCUGGCCCUAUCUAGAAGAGUGACUCUGAGCAGGGCAGAGUACUGUGAGCAGUAACUUAUGUUGUAUAUGGAACUCUUUGUUUCGGACUUAAAAAAACAAAACUUCUCACAGGGACUUCAUUCAUCCCGCCUCAAUCAGUCUCUAUGGAUCCAGGCCAUGAUUCAAGUGAGAAACUAGGCUGAUGCCAUCAUUAAUGACAAAUCCAUCUAGGCAAGCAAAUCAUAGAUGAAACCACACCCUACUUGUUGCCAAAUGACUCCUAGUCAUGCCUGCCUUUCCUCUCUAGUUGGAAGUAUGCUGGCUACCAGAAGAAAGAGCAGAGCAAUGGAAUCCCGUGCUCUAGGCCACUACCAGCUGUGUGUCUUUAGAUACCUAAAGAGCCUGGAUGUACCAUACGAUCCACACAUGCUCUCAUAAAAGCCUCCAUGACCAACGCUGUUGACCAUCACAGCCAUGGCUAAAAUGAGCCUCAGAGAAGUGAAGUAACUUGCAUUGGCCACAUAUCGAGUACUGAAACUACAAAGUCUUUUUUUUAAUGACUGACUCCUUUACAUCUCAAUUCUUUUCCUAAUGUAAAUUUAAUUAUGGGGCCUCAAGGGAGGAAAGCAAAUAAAAAUCCUUAAUUCUCCCUCUUA